AUCCCCACUUUCUGGCCUCCCCACCAUGAGCCGCCAAUUCACCUACAAGUCGGGAGCUGCUGCCAAGGGGGGCUUCAGCGGCUGCUCGGCUGUGCUCUCAGGGGGCAGCUCAUCCUCCUAUCGAGCAGGGGGCAAAGGGCUCAGUGGGGGCUUCAGCAGUCAGAGCCUUUACAGCCUGGGGGGUGCCCGGAGCAUCUCUUUCAAUGUGGCCAGUGGCAGUGGGUGGGCAGGAGGCUAUGGAUUUGGCCAGGGCCGGGCCAGUGGCUUUGCUGGCAGCGUGUUUGGCAGUGUGGCCUUGGGGUCCGUGUGUCCGUCCUUGUGCCCGCCCGGGGGUAUCCAUCACGUCACCAUCAACAAGAGCCUUCUGGCACCCCUGAACGUGGAGCUGGAUCCUGAAAUCCAGAAAGUGCGUGCCCAGGAGCGGGAGCAGAUCAAGGUGCUGAACAACAAGUUCGCCUCCUUCAUCGACAAGGUGCGGUUCCUGGAGCAGCAGAACCAGGUGCUGGAGACCAAGUGGGAGCUGCUGCAGCAGCUGGACCUGAACAACUGCAAGAAUAACCUGGAGCCCAUCCUCGAGGGCUACAUCAGCAACCUGCGGAAGCAGCUGGAGACGCUGUCCGGGGACAGGGUGAGGCUGGACUCGGAGCUGAGGAGCGUGCGCGAAGUGGUGGAGGACUACAAGAAGAGGUAUGAAGAAGAAAUAAACAAGCGCACAACUGCUGAGAAUGAAUUUGUGGUGCUUAAGAAGGACGUGGAUGCAGCUUACAUGAGCAAAGUGGAGCUGCAGGCCAAGGUGGAUGCCCUGGAUGGAGAAAUCAAGUUCUUCAAGUGUCUGUACGAGGGGGAGAUUGCUCAGAUCCAGUCCCACAUCAGUGACACGUCCAUCAUCCUGUCCAUGGACAACAACCGGAACCUGGACCUGGACAGCAUCAUUGCUGAGGUCCGCGCCCAGUAUGAGGAGAUCGCCCGGAAGAGCAAGGCCGAGGCCAAGGCCCUGUACCAGACCAAGUUCCAGGAGCUGCAGCUAGCAGCCGGCCGGCAUGGGGAUGACCUGAAACACACCAAAAAUGAGAUCUCAGAGCUGACCCGUCUCAUCCAAAGGCUGCGCUCGGAGAUUGAGAGUGUGAAGAAGCAGGUGAAGGGGACUGGAGCGUUCCUUACUCACUCCUAAGGGAGGGGUGAACUGCUUAGCACCCCCUACCCCCUCCUUCUCCUGAGCAUCCAUUUCAGAAUCCCCUUCCUCAAAUGGAGGUCCUGCUCUCAUCCCUCACCCUUAGCUCCCAUCUGAAGUUUGGAACAAUUGCAGAUUAUUUUCAUAAAGCUGUGGGGCCCAGUAUAACAAGCCUCUCAGUCCCAGGUUGACAGGACUCCACCUGGAUGUGGCUGGGUCUCUGCUCCAGGACAUGGGGCAGGACAGAGGAGGGCUCAACCACUGAGAGCAUGGGAGAGGUGAAGUGAGGCCCAGGGAGGAACUCAGGGAGAAAUGCUACCUCCUGACCCCAGUGUGCCAACCUGGAGACGGCCAUCACUGACACUGAGCUGCGGGGGGACUGCGCCCUCAAGGAUGCCAGGGCCAAGCUGGAUGAGCUGGAGGGCGCCCUGCAGCAGGCCAAGGAGGAGCUGGCACGGAUGCUGCGCGAGUACCAAGAGCUUUUGAGCGUGAAGCUGUCCCUGGAUAUUGAGAUCGCUACCUACCGCAAGCUGCUGGAGGGCGAGGAGUGCAGGAUGUCCGGAGAAUAUACCAAUUCUGUGAGCAUUUCGGUCAUCAACAGCUCCAUGGCUGGGACGGCAGGCACAGGGGCUGGCUUUGGAUUCAGCAAUGCUGGCACCUAUGGCUACUGGCCCAGCUCUGUCAGCGGGGGCUACAGCAUGCUGCCUGGGGGCUGUGUCACUGGCAGUGGGAACUGCAACCCCCGUGGGGAAGCCAGGACCAGGCUGGGGAGUGCAAGUGAAUUCAAGGACUCCCAGGGAAAGACCUUAGCUCUAAGCUCACCCACCAAAAAAACCAUGAGAUAAAAGUGCAAGGCAGCUCACUUCCCAGUAGUCUGCCUUGCCCUGGCAGAUUGCUCUGGACUCCUCUAGGAAAUUCCUCUGUCUCAUUUGUCCUCAUCUCCUUCUUGCUUUGCUUUGCUGUGGACCUCUCCUCCUUCUCCUUGACCUCUCUGCCUCAGUCUUUGUUAAUGUUGAAUCAGGAUCUGAGAGCUGGAGCCCAUCUUUCUGCCUCCAUCCAAAGAGGCCUUUUAACUCAGCCUCCCCUUCUGAAUGAAGACUUGGCCCUUUCUCUGCCUGCAUGUCCCUGUGCAGAGGAAGUCUGUCUCUCAAGGGUAACCCCAAUCUGCCUGCGCUGCUCUUUCAUACCCUGUCUCAGUAACUAUUUGGCCAUGUGCUCCCUGGAUACACAAGGUUUCAGAUCUACUGAUAGACCGGCAAGAACCCUCUCAUGUUAGAGCAAUACUGGCUCAGGCAAAACGCCUGG
rnacentral:sRNA from 1 species